rnacentral:rRNA from 1 species
UGUCGCCUACGGGAGGCAGCAGUGGGGAAUCUUGCACAAUGGGGGAAACCCUGAUGCAGCGACGCCGCGUGAGUGAGGAAGUAUUUCGGUAUGUAAAGCUCUAUCAGCAGGGAAGAAAAUGUCGGUACCUGACUAAGAAGCCCCGGCUAACUACGUGCCAGCAGCCGCGGUAAUACGUAGGGGGCAAGCGCUAUCCGGAUUUACUGGGUGUAAAGGGUACGCGGACGGAUAAGCAAGUCUGAUGUGACAGUCCGGGGCCCAACCCCGGAGUUGCAUCG